GCCUACGGCCAUACCAGCUUGAGAACACCCAACCUCCUCUGACCUCGGAAGCUAAACAGAGCAGGGCGCAGUUAGAACGUGGAUGGGGCACUGCCUGGGGACACUGGGUGCUGUAGGCU
rnacentral:rRNA from 1 species